rnacentral:rRNA from 1 species
UAAAAACUGUUUGGUGGAUGACUUGGCUUGACCGGGGAUGACGGACGUGGCAAGCUGCGAAAAGCCCAGGGUAGGCGCAUGCGGCCUUUGAACCUGGGAUGUCCCAAUUAUUCCGUAAGGAAGCCGAACCCCCUGAAUUGAAACAUCUUAGUAAGGGGUGGAGAAAAAAGAAUGAUCGAUUCCGUUAGUAGUGGCGAACGAAGGCGGAACAGAUGCAAACCGAAUCCCCUGUAGCGAUAUAGGGGAGAUGUGGUGUACGGACCUCUUUCUGCUCCCAAGAAUUAGCCGAAGCACCUGGAAAGGUGCGGAUUACAGGGUGACACCCCCGUAGGCGGUUCUAGGGAGAUGUUAGGAGGUAUCCGGAGUAGGGCUGGUUGAUUUCCAGUCUGAAGACGUGAGUACCAACUCAUAACUCUAAAUACGUGUCAAGUCCGAUAGCGCAAAGUACCGUGAGGGAAAGUUGAAAAGAACCCUUGGAAGGGUGUGAAAAGCGUCUGAAACCAAGCAGUGAAACGUGUUAGGGCAAUCAAGCUAUUCCAGUGGAAGUUAAUUAGAGAGAUCUAAGGUACGACAUUGGAUCAUGCGGUGUCCUAACCUCGGUCAUGAAGCACUGUGCAACGAGUUCAAGGCUGUGGCAAGGCUAAGCCCUUUGGGCGAAGUCGGAGCGAAAGCGAAUCCGCGCAACAUCGUGAGGCGGGCUGUAUGAAAAUGCAGUUAGUCACAGUUUUGAGACCUGAAGCCAUGGCGAACUACUCCUGAGCAGGGCGAAACCCGAUUUCAAUCGGGUGGAGGCCCGAAACAAGUGUUAAGAUCAAUUUACUUUGGUGACUUGGGUGUAGGGGUGAAAGACCAGUCUAGCCUGGCAAUAGCUGGUUCCUUCCGAUUUAUCCCGUAGGAUAGCCCUACUGGAGGAGGGUAAUGUGGUAGAGCACUGAUUGAAAAAUUAAGGUUCGAAAGUUCCGGUUUUUCUGUCAAACUCCGAAAACAUUAUCUCCGUAGAAGGUGGGAGACGGGGUGUUGGGGUAAGCUUAACAUCCGUGAGGGGAACAACCCAGAAUCAGGUUAAGGGCCCAAAAUGCUAGCUAAGUGUAAAAGAAAGGAGGUCCGAAGUCACAGACAGAGGGAAGGUAGGCUUAGAAGCAGCCACCCUUUAAAGAAUGCGUAACAGCUCACCCUUCGAGAUUUCGGGCGCCGAAGAUUGACGGGGCUAAGCUAGCUCCCGAGACCCGAUUGUUCAUAAAAUGAACAGGUAGGAAGGCAUUGUGCGAGGACAGAAGUUGGGGGGUAAUCUCCAAUGGACCCCGUACAAAAGAAAAUGUUGCAGUAAGUAACAGCAGAGAUUCGUGAGAAACGGAUCCGCCGAAAGGGCCAGGGUUUCUCAGCAAUGCUCGUCAGCUGAGAGUAAGUCGAUCCUAAGUCUGAUCGUAACACGAUUAAGACGAAAGGGAAUCCGGUUAAUAUUCCGGAACCUUGGAAAUACCAGCGGCAACGCAAGCCAUAAUCGUAAUGCUUCGGUCUAGCCUGAGUGGAAUCGUCGUUCCAUCUAACAGGAAUAAGUCCUUGGAGUUCCGUAACGGAGAGAAGAGGGCGACACCUGGAAUGGCAGCAAUGUUCGGGCAAGGGCUGGAGUCCAUGAAAAGCGAUUGUGGAAAUGGGAUUUUCCAAGCUCGUACCAAGAUCUGGCACAAGUGUCCUGGCAGAAAAUGCUAAGGCGUGGCGGAGUACACCUCCCAAGGGAAUUCGGCAAAAUAGUCCUGUAACUUCGGAAGAAGGGAUGCCUGCUCCCCUCGCAAGAGGGAGAGGAGGUCGCAGUGACAAGGGGUCAGCGACUGUUUAUCAAAAACACAAGUCUCAGCAAGCCUGUAAAGGUAAGUACUGAGGCUGACAUCUGCUCACUACCAGUACGUGAAAGCCCCGUUCAAGGGGAAUAAGCGCUGGCGAAGAGCGGGCCUAACUCUGAGGCUCUUAAGGUAGAACAUUACGGCUGCCUUAUCAAAAUCCAACUAUAUGCUGGGAACUCUGAGUAUCCAAAGCUACCGAAAGGUGAAAAUGCUUUGGUGCAGACAAUCAGCAGGGAAGCUCACUUGAGCGCCCUCAGAGACUAUACGUUGGACGCGGAAGCGAAGAUAUAGUCCGAACUUCAUGGCGACAUGAAGAGGUUUGCAGAAAUGCAGACCCACCACAACAAUAGAGAACAAGUGUAACAUAAUUGAGCGUAAUACCUCGUCGCUUAAUAGGCGACUUGCAUGAAUGAUGUAACGACUGGCCCACUGUCCCUGGGGGGUAUCCGGUGAACACACUAACCAGUGAAUAUGCUGGUAAAUCCUUGUGGGGCGCGAAGACCCCAUGGAGCUUUACAGUAGCCUGUUGUUAGUGUAUGUGAAUAGGUACAUAGCGUAGGUGGGAGACUUCGAAGUCCCUUCUUCGGGAGGGACGGAGUCGACAAUGUAACACCACCUGUUUGUUUACGUACGCUUUACUCGGAAGAGGACAGCUAUAGGUGGACUGUUUGACUGGGGCGGUACACCCCUGAAAAGAUAUCAGGGGUACCCAAUGGUCAGCUCCGAUCGGUCAGAAACCGAUCAUAGAGAGUGAAGGACAAAUGCUGGCCUGACUGUACUCCGUACAGAGAGGAGUGCAGCAACGAAAGUUUGGCCUAGAGAACCUUGGAGGCCCUUUGGUGGGGCCCCAAUCUGAUAGAAAAGUUACCCUGGGGGUAACGGAGCUGUCGCGGGCAAGAGUUCACAUCGACCCCGCGGUUUGCUUCCCCGCUGUCGGCACGUGUCAUCCUGGUGGUGCAGUAGCCACCAAGGGUAGGGCUGCUCGCCCGUUAAAGACGCACGCUAGCUGGGUUCAGUACGUCGCGAGACAGUACGGUGGCACCUACAAGGAUUGUUGAGUAUCUGAGAGGAAGGUUCAUCAAGUACGAGAGGAACGGUGAAUCGCGGCCUCUGGUCUAUCGGUUGUCUGACAAGGCAGGCCGAGCAGCUACGCCGCAGAGCGAUAAGGGCUGAAGGCAUCUUAAGCCCGAAGCGUUCCUUAAAAAGAGAUACUCAUGAGGUCUUUGCCCGCAAGGGUUAGAGAUCUCCGAAAGCCGCCAUAGAACAUGGCGUUGAUAGAGACGGGAUGUACGAGCCUAGCUUCGGCGAGGCUUUCAGUCCGCGUCCACUAAAAGCUUGAGGUUUUUAUA